rnacentral:rRNA from 1 species
UACGGAGGGGGCGAGCGUUAUUCGGAAUUAUUGGGCGUAAAGGGCGCGUAGGCGGCUUGGUAAGUCAAAGGUGAAAUCCCUCGGCUCAACUGAGGAAUUGCCUUUGAAACUGCCAGGCUUGAGGCCGGGAGGGGGUAGCGGAAUUCCCAGUGUAGCGGUGAAAUGCGUAGAUACUGGGAGGACACCAGUGGCGAAGGCGGCUACCUGGACCGGAACUGGACGCUGAUGCGC